UUACACUUUGUAAGACCAUAACUCACUACAAUGUUAUUUGAGCUUUCAUGUAGAGCUACAAAUGAUGUACAGUAACUCAAUAUUGCCAUUGUUAUUUUUGUCAUUCUAAAAAAUUCUGGAAUUACUUGGAAUAACAGGGUGGAAAUUCAUUGCCUGCCAUGUUGAGCUUUCACCUAAUUUUGAAGGGGAGAGAGCAAAGGUGAAAAAAGCCCAUUGUUUGACAACCUUUCCCCCCCCCCCUUUUUAUUAAAGUAACAGUGGGUAGAGAUGAUAGAGAGAGAUGAUAGAGAGAGAUGGGGGGGGUGGGGGGGUUGACACGCAGCAAUGGGCCGCAGGUCGGAGUUGAACCCAGGCCGCUGCAGGACUUGGCCAACAUGGGGAAAAUGCUCUUAUUGUGUGAACUACAGGCCGCCCCAUUGUUUCGACAACAUGAAUCAUUUUGCUAAUACAAUUUUUUUGUAUUCCAAAGCUUAAAAUAACCAUAGUUUGUUUUCACAGAGCUUACCACUUGGCAUGGGCAGAAGGUCAUGGGCAGCCUCAUCUGUCCAACUGGUCCAUGGAGCCAUGGCAGAUGAGAUGACAGUUGACAGCUUACCACAGGGCAGUGGUGGAGGAUUGUUGUCCGCCUCAUCCUGGCCUGCUCCAAGCUGAGACAUUGCUUAAA